rnacentral:tRNA from 1 species
CAGGGAGACAACAAAAUGUUUAAUAUUAUUAUUUUGUCACCUUAGGUCGAUCGGUAUCUCACGUUCUUAAUUUGUUAAGAAUUUCAUUUCCUAAGUUUUUCUAGGUCACACCCAUUAUUUUUCCUGGGCCAUUAGCUCAGGUGGUUAGAGCGCACCCCUGAUAAGGGUGAGGUCCCUGGUUCAAGUCCAGGAUGGCCCAUAUCUCUAUGUUGGGGGUAUAGCUCAGUUGGUAGAGCGCCUGCUUUGCAAGCAGGAUGUCAGCGGUUCGAGUCCGCUUACCUCCACUGAUUACCACCUCUUCCAUAAUCUGUAGAAGGAAAAAUUUUUGAGUUGUGAUCAAAUUCUGAACGAAUCUAGCUUCCUAAUGAAAUCAUUAAGAUGCUGGACUCAUUGAAUUAAUUUCAUUGUUUUCAGAGAACCUUGACAACUGCAUAGAUUAUUUUUAAAGACAAUAAGCAUCUUUAAUGAUGCAGACUUAUUAUUUGUGCGAAUGCAUUAAUAACAAUUCUAUUAAGCUGAUGCUUCAAUUUUGAAGUUAUU